rnacentral:rRNA from 1 species
GGACUACAGGGGUUUCUAAUCCUGUUUGCUCCCCUAGCUUUCGCAGCUGAGCGUCAGUAAUAGUCCAGGUACCUGCUUUCGCCGUUGGUGUUCCUCCCGAUCUCUGCGCAUUUCACCGCUACACCGGGAAUUCCAGUACCCUCUCCUACACUCAAGCCUGACAGUUUCCGUUGACCUCUCCCAGUUAAGCCGGGAGCUUCCACAACAGACUUGUCAGACCGCCUACCUGCCCUUUACGCCUAGUAAUUCCGAGUAACGCUUGCCACCUUCGUAUUACCGCGGCGGCUGGCAC